GAUGAACGCUGGCGGCGUGCUUAACACAUGCAAGUCGAACGAAGCAUUUAAGACAGAUUACUUCGGUUUGAAGUCUUUUAUGACUGAGUGGCGGACGGGUGAGUAACGCGUGGGUAACCUGCCUCAUACAGGGGGAUAGCAGCUGGAAACGGCUGGUAAUACCGCAUAAGCGCACAGUACCACAUGGUACAGUGUGAAAAACUCCGGUGGUAUGAGAUGGACCCGCGUCUGAUUAGCUUGUUGGCGGGGUAACGGCCCACCAAGGCGACGAUCAGUAGCCGACCUGAGAGGGUGGCCGGCCACAUUGGGACUGAGACACGGCCCAGACUCCUACGGGAGGCAGCAGUGGGGAAUAUUGCACAAUGGAGGAAACUCUGAUGCAGCGACGCCGCGUGAGUGAAGAAGUAGUUCGCUAUGUAAAGCUCUAUCAGCAGGGAAGAUAGUGACGGUACCUGACUAAGAAGCGCCGGCUAAAUACGUG
rnacentral:rRNA from 1 species